GAAAAAUGAGGCAUUGUUAUGUGACUAAUCUGUGACCAUACAGCUCAUGUGGAAGAUGAAGCUACAGCUGUAGAACUUCUAGUCCUCAGUGCCAUUUCAACUAUAAUAUAGAUUAAGAUUAAUUUCCGGAUUAGAUAUAACUAUGUAUAUUAGAUUGACUUUAGAGGCUCAAAAAUGCAGAACCGUUUAUUUUUCUUCUUUGACAAAUGGUAAAAACAUUCAUAACUCAAUUGUAUAUGUCUCUCUCCAAAAUUACUGGCUGGACAGGUUUUAUGAUUGGUUGACAGAAGGGAGCAAGUUGUAUGACUGGAGAAAAUAUUAUAAAAUGAAGUAAUUAAAGGAUUAGAAAGCAAGAUCUGUGGGAAAACCAUUUAAAGGUGCCGAAUAUAUUAAUAGACUAAAUAAUCAGAAGAAACGCAUUCCAUUCCAAGAAGCCUAUGUGUUGGUGCACAGAGGGAUGGCAUUUAUCUUAGAGAGAGAAGGAUCUAUAGGACGUGAACAGACAGGCAUGUUCUCUACAUGGAAACAUCACCUUAUUUCACAGGCUUCCUCUCCAUAGGAUUUGGGGGUGCUUCCUAGACACUGGAAACAACAAAUUCUCCAGAAAUCCAAUGACCGCUCCAAAGAGGAAGGCUGGGUUUCACAAUGGCGUUGACGGAUAAACCCGAACUGUAUCUCAGAUCAUACAGCGUUCUAUUCAGAGAGCAGAGCCAUGUGGCCACAAUUCACCACUCAUUUUAGGCAAGAUUCAUUUCAAGAAGACCAUGAAAGGUCACCCCUCUUAGAGUCUGAUAUUCUGUGUUUGAAUCCUGCUGCUUCCUUCUGGUAUGCAAGUUGAUCCCCGAAUCUCAAGUUUUUUCACCAGUGAAAUUGUGCUGCUGAUGCUCAUCUCACAGUAAUGGAAAGAUUCAAAGAGCUAACAUAUGUGAAUGUGUUUUUAUUGAAAGUUAUGUUGACUCUGUGACCCAUUGUUCCCAGAGCUGUUGUCAGUGUUGGCGAAGACAGCUUUUUUCAUUAUCUACUUUGUCGUGUAUCCUGCCAGUGAUAUUUGUGCCCCUACCAGCAAAUUGUCAGGUACUCGUACGUUGGAGAGGAACUCACGAUGGAAGGAGCCAACCCCGUUACUGACAUGUAACCAUCUGAAUUGUCCUUAUUUCAUGAUGAAAGUUAUCAAUAAAAGCUGCCUCAUCUUGAAA